rnacentral:rRNA from 1 species
AUUGAACGCUGGCGGCAUGCCUUACACAUGCAAGUCGAACGGUAACAGGUCUUCGGAUGCUGACGAGUGGCGAACGGGUGAGUAAUACAUCGGAACGUGCCUAGUAGUGGGGGAUAACUACUCGAAAGAGUGGCUAAUACCGCAUGAGAUCUACGGAUGAAAGCAGGGGAUCGCAAGACCUUGUGCUACUAGAGCGGCCGAUGGCAGAUUAGGUAGUUGGUGGGACAAAAGCUUGCCAAGCCGACGAUCUGUAGCUGGUCUGAGAGGACGAUCAGCCACACUGGGACUGAGACACGGCCCAGACUCCUACGGGAGGCAGCAGUGGGGAAUUUUGGACAAUGGGCGAAAGCCUGAUUCAGCAAUGCCGCGUGCAGGAUGAAGGCCUUCGGGUUGUAAACUGCUUUUGUACGGAACGAAAAGCCCUGGGUUAAUACCCUGGGGUCAUGACGGUACCGUAAGAAUAAGCACCGGCUAACUACGUGCCAGCCGCCGCGGUAA